rnacentral:rRNA from 1 species
UACGUAGGGUGCAAGCGUUCAUCGGAAUUACUGGGCGUAAAGCGUGCGCAGGCGGUUGUGCAAGUCCGGUGUGAAAUCCCCGGGCUUAACCUGGGAAUUGCAUUUGUGACUGCACGGCUAGAGUGUGUCAGUGGGGGGUAGAAUUCCACGUGUAGCAGUGAAAUGCGUAGAGAUGUGGAGGAAUACCGAUGGCGAAGGCAGCCCCCUGGGAUAACACUGACGCUCAUGCACGAAAGCGUGGGGAGCAAACAGG